ACGGGUGAGUAAUAUAUAGGUAAUGUGCCUCUUAGUCUGGGAUAGCCAUUGGAAACGAUGAUUAAUACUAGAUACUCCUUCUAACUAUAAAGUUAGUCGGGAAAGUUUUUUCGCUAAGAGAUCGGCCUAUAUCCUAUCAGCUAGUUGGUGAGGUAAUGGCUCACCAAGGCAAUGACAGGUAGCGGGUUUGAGAGGAUGAUCCGCCACACUGGUACUGAGACACGGACCAGACUCC
rnacentral:rRNA from 1 species